UACGGGGGGGGCAAGCGUUGUUCGGAAUUACUGGGCGUAAAGCGUGCGCAGGCGGUCUGUUAAGACCGAUGUGAAAUCCCCGGGCUUAACCUGGGAACUGCAUUGGUGACUGGCAGGCUUUGAGUGUGGCAGAGGGAGGUAGAAUUCCACGUGUAGCAGUGAAAUGCGUAGAGAUGUGGAGGAACACCAGUGGCGAAGGCGGCAUCCUGGACCGAUACUGACGCUGAGGAGCGAAAGCCAGGGGAGCAAACGGG
rnacentral:rRNA from 1 species